rnacentral:lncRNA from 10 species
AAAGCAGUCUGGAUGUGUGUUGGGAGGAUCACUUCACCUGAGCUAUGUAUAUCUAUCUCAUAGGAUUUCAGGGUUAUACAAUAUACCAUGUGACUGCUGAGUAAAACAGAAGACUCAGACAGGAACACAGCUCUCAUUCAUAACAUGCCUCCUCUCCAGACUAACAAAGCGCAAUCCUGGUGAGCUACUGAACUUAAAGCUGCAGAACUGGAAUGAGGGCUUGUUACCCAGAACUCUCUUGAAGCCCAUCAUCCAGUUCCCUGUCUUCUGCUAGCAGUACCCUGAUUUUGCUCUGUGGAAUCAUCCUCUUCCUGACUUUCAGCUCAUGUGCUUCUGGUAAUGAAUGGUGGCGCUUGGAUGUGGCUCCCAGCUUUCUGAAAGGAUACUCCAAAAAGAAUGUUCUAACCUCCAAAGUUGGUUUCCAUAAGGAAUUUAAAGAUUGUCCUGGGAUGAUGGACCCCACAGAAGUUAUAACAAGAAGAGGACAAGAGUGACCAUUAAGUAUGAACUUCUUUAGGAGAAUAUAACAGGUUUGGAAGAUCAAGGAAUGAAGGUGCUGGGAGAAUCAAACAGUUUAAUAUAUGUAAAAUGCUUAGCCUAGCCUUUCGUCUUGCUCAAUUGCCACUGCCAUGAGAGGAGCUUCCACUGAGAAGCUACUAUCCCCCAAGUCUGGUUCUCAGAAUAUGCACAUGUGGAAGAGAAGAAAGCCUGACUUUUAGCAAGAAGCCUAUUCCUGUGGUAUGUGCAACCUCAGCAGAGCUUUUCAUUAAAGUCAAGUCCAGUCCAAAUCAGCUGAUCCUUGAGUGACCUGCAUAUAUCUGAGAAAUAUUAUUGUUGUAUGCCACUGAUAGAUAUUUUGUGAUUGAUUAUCUAUCUGUCACAUAACAAAAGCUGACUGACAUACAUGUAGUUUCAGGAUUAUCAAAAAGGCAUUAUCUUUUCAAAAAUGCUAGAAAUAAUUCCAAAGAUAAUUGUUUGUGCCAGAUGACAUAAUUGUAUAUACAUUGUAGAUGGAAUUAUCAAGAUUACUUUUAAUGCCAACGACAUUUAGGAAUGCUAAUUAACUUAUGAAACACCAUCACAUAUCAUUAAUAAAGGAAAUUUAUAUUUUGUGUUCCCUAAAUGGCACUAUAGGAAAUGUAACAUAUGCUCAUUAAGUUUGCGGUUAUGAUUUUAAUCAUUGAAAUGAAGUCAAUGAAAUUGUAUAACUGAAAAAUUCCACCAAAUAACUAUAAAUUUCACUUUUAGAUGGAUAUUAGAAUUUAUAAAAUAUGUCUAGUGACUUAAUUGUAUACUAUUUAACAAUUACAAGACUAUUAUAACAUAUUUAAUUAACAGAAUUGAAACAAGUAUUUGUUGAAAAACAAAGAACAUUUUAAACAA